rnacentral:rRNA from 1 species
UACGUAGGGUGCGAGCGUUAAUCGGAAUUACUGGGCGUAAAGCGUGCGCAGGCGGUUGUGUAAGACAGGUGUGAAAUCCCCGGGCUUAACCUGGGAAUGGCAUUUGGGACUGCAAGGCUGGAGUGUGGCAGAGGAGACUGGAAUUCCUGGUGUAGCAGUGAAAUGCGUAGAUAUCCGGAGGAACACCGGUGGCGAAGGCGGCGACCUGGUCCUAUACUGACGCUCAUACACGAAAGCGUGGGGAUCAAACAGG